rnacentral:rRNA from 15 species
GCUUACGGCAUACCACCUGAACGCGCCGAUCUCGUCCGAUCGUCGGAAGCUAAGCAGGGUCGGGCCUGGUUAGUACUUGGAUGGGAGACCGCCUGGGAAUACCAGGUGCUGUAAGCC